rnacentral:misc_RNA from 1 species
GUGAGUCAUCGAAUCUUUGAACGCACAUUGCGCCCUCUGGUAUUCCGGAGGGCAUGCCUGUUCGAGCGUCAUUUCAACCCUCAAGCCUGGCUUGGUGAUGGGGCACUGCCUGUAAAAGGGCAGGCCCUGAAAUCUAGUGGCGAGCUCGCCAGGACCCCGAGCGUAGUAGUUACAUCUCGCUCUGGAAGGCCCUGGCGGUGCCCUGCCGUUAAACCCCCAACCUCUGAAAAUUUGACCUCGGAUCAGGUAGGAAUACCCGCUGAACUUAAGCAUAUCAAUAAGCGGAGGA